UUUGAUUGGAGAGUGCUCCGCGCGUGGAUGAGACAAGUCACAGUUGCCUGCCUGUGUGAGUUAAAAUAGUUUGCAUGGUUCCCUUGAUUGACAAGUUGGAAUGAAUAGAAACCAGGAGCAGCUCACAAGAGUAGAGUUAUGUUAUUUUUUUUAAAUAACAUGGUUAUUUUUUUCCAACAUGGCUAUUUUGCAUGUGCAUUACGCGCUGUUUUAUUAAGACAGGCAUCAAAAAGGGUGAUGUUGUUGGGAUUCACCACAGAGCCGUAACCUCACGGCAGAGAAGGCUGGUAGAAACAAAGGAUAUUCCGGCGUUGCCGACAAGCGGACCUAUUGUUUCCUCUGGCUCGGCGACAAUAUGUGCCACUGCUUGCGGAAACGUAUUCUCUCCUUGGAAAGUGUCUUUCAAAGAUGAAGAUGAUCAAGUUUAUGCAAUGAAAUUUAAUCUAUUAUUUUACAGAUUUAUCCUUUCUAACAGAAAGAACCAUCGCCUUUAAAAAAUAAUAAUAACUUUCGACAAGCAUGAUUGAAGUUCGUGCAAAAUGCUCUAUAUGGCACUUUACCGGGAUUAACCAGUUAAAUGCGAACGAUGUGUAUAUAUGUCAGUCUAAAUCUUCAUUUGGACGCGGUCGAUGUUUAAUUUUUUAUCUAAUAAAAAUGAAAUUUUAUUCUCUUUA